AAGGCCGGCCUGGUGGCUUGGGGUAUACCACUAUUCGUUGUGCUCAUAGCAGCUGCAGUCAACAUUGAAAUCUACGACGGGGUCCUCAUCAAUUGUACAUUCAGCUGUCGUUUGAGUACCGUCGCUUUCUACGGUCUCUUCUUAACACCGAUGCUCAUCAUCGUCCUCUUCAAUAGCAUCGUAUUCGGGCU